UUAGGGCUUUUAUGUUCCAUCUUUUUGUUUGAUCGGUCAAAGCCUCAAAGGGAACGAAAGAUGAACAAAUACGAAAGCAGAUAGAAUGCACGAACGAAUCGUCGGCAGCCAAGAAGGAAGCACGAAGGCAGGGUUCCUUUUUGGUCCGAUGUUUGUCGAUCUAUCGCAAGGAGGGGGUGAAGCAUCUCCGAUUCUUGUGCUUUUCUGAUCGGGGAUGGGAAGGACUCGAUCGAAGCAGGGAAACAGACGAACAAGACUACCGACGGUGACUGACGAUCGCGAGGGGGAGGAUGGCAUCUAAGGGGUCGACGAGGCCGAAGAAAGAAUGUGGGAAGAAGCAGCGAGGCUGCUCGUGAUCUCGGUGGAAGCAGCGAGGCGCUGCUCAAGCAGUUUCUCGGCUGCUUGCUUCAGUCCCGAUAGCGGGGUGCGAAGGGAAAUGCAAGUGUGAGGGGCGAGGGGCAAGGCCAGAAGAGGGGGUCUCGUGGGAGGAAACUAACAGCAGUAGUAGUUCGAGUGGGGUGUUUCGCAGCGGAGCUCGUCGAGAUGGAAGGCAUGAUGCGACGGAGGCUGCUCCGGCACUCUCCCUGUUGCUUCUGGUUUUCUUUUACUCUUUUUUUUUUUUUUUUUUUUAAAAUCAAUGGGACUUUGGUGUGUGUUUGGGUUUGAUUUUUGACAGGAAAAAGAAGGAAGAAAUCACUAGGUGUUUGGCUUUGUUGUGUUCGUCGUGAGAAAGAGGGGAAGGAAACGAGGCUGCUGCCUCUUGGCUUUCAUAGGGAAAGAAAAGGAAGAGGGGAGAGGAGCUGAACAAGGUGACGAAUUCAGGAGUGUUUGUGGGUUUGAAUUUGAUGUUUCAUUUGUGGGUUUGAUGUUUCGGGAGUGUUUCAUUUGGGUUUGACAGCUUCAAUUGAGAAAGGAAACCCGUUUCCUUUCCUUUGUGGUUUUGUCUAAAAAAUGUUUUACUUUGUGUGAGGUUUUGGUUAAGUUGAAAUGUGAAACUGUGAAAGAAAAUAAUGGCUUUUAAUUUGUUUUCUUUAUAA